GACGGGGACCCGCACAAGCGGUGGAGCAUGUGGUUUAAUUCGAAGCAACGCGAAGAACCUUACCAGGCCUUGACAUCCCAAGGAAAGAUCCUUAACCGGAUCCCCUCUUCGGAGUCUUGGAGACAGGUGGUGCAUGGUUGUCGUCAGCUCGUGUCGUGAGAUGUUGGGUCAAGUCCCGCAACGAGCGCAACCCUUGUCCGUAGUAGCCAGCAGUAAGAUGGGAACUCUACGGAGACUGCCGGGGAUAACCCGGAGGAAGGUGGGGAUGACGUCAAAUCAUCAUGCCCCUUACGGUCUGGGCGACACACGUGCUACAAUGGCGUAACAAAGGGAAGCGAGCCCGCGAGGGGGAGCAAACCCCAAAAAUAGCGUCCCAGUUCGGACUGUAGUCUGCAACCCGACUACACGAAGCCGGAAUCGCUAGUAAUCGCGGAUCAGAAUGCCGCGGUGAAUACGUUCCCGGGUCUUGUACACACCGCCCGUCACACCAUGGGAGUUGGUAAUGCCCGAAGCCGGUGGCCUAACGAAAGAGGGAGCCGUCGAAGGCAGGACCGAUGACUGGGGUGAAGUCGUAACAAGGAGCUGUU
rnacentral:rRNA from 1 species